AUGGUAGGAUAGAGGCCUACCAUGGUGGUAACGGGUAACGGGGUGUUAGGGCACGACACCGGAGAGGGAGCCUGAGAAACGGCUACCACAUCCAAGGAUGGCAGCAGGCGCGCAAAUUACCCAAUCCCGACACGGGGAGGUAGUGACAAUAAAUAACAAUACGGGGUUCUUUGGGAUCUCGUAAUUGGAAUGAGUACAAUUUAAAUCUCUUAACGAGGAACAAUUGGAGGGCAAGUCUGGUGCCAGCAGCCGCGGUAAUUCCAGCUCCAAUAGCGUAUAUNAAAGUUGUUGCAGUUAAAAAGCUCGUAGUUGAAUUUCGGGGUCAGUAGGUCGGUCGUGCCACUGGUAUGAACUGGUUUUACUGAUUCCUCCCUCUUGAAGAACUGUAAUGCCAUUAAUUUGGUGUUGCAGGGAAUCAGGACUGUUACUUUGAAAAAAUUAGAGUGUUUAAAGCAGGCUUUAGCUUGAAUACAUUAGCAUGGAAUAAUGAAAUAGGACGUUUGAUCCUAUUUUGUUGGUUUCUAGGAUUGACGUAAUGAUUAAUAGGGAUAGUUGGGGGCAUUAGUAUUCAAUUGUCAGAGGUGAAAUUCUUGGAUUUAUUGAAGACUAACUACUGCGAAAGCAUUUGCCAAGGAUGUUUUCAUUAAUCAAGAACGAAAGUUAGGGGAUCGAAGACGAUCAGAUACCGUCGUAGUCUUAACCAUAAACUAUGCCGACUAGGGAUCGGAUGAUGUUAAUUUUUUAAUGACUCAUUCGGCGCCUUACGGGAAACCAAAGUGUUUGGG
rnacentral:rRNA from 1 species